GGGUAAACCCCUUUUUCUUCUCUAGUUCCUCAAAUCUUUAACAAAUUGAAGGUGUUUCUGGGUAUAAAUCGAAUGCAUGUGACCAAAUUCUCAACCAUCUAAGGGUUUCCUACAUAGGGGAAAAUGUUGAGUGAAAGAAGAAGGAGCUAAUUCCGGUUCGCAACAAAAGGCUCAAGAACCAGGUAAAUCCUUGACUUCAUAGCUUGGCGACUCAGAACGAACACACUCGAUAUCACGCCCAUCAAGCGCUUCCGACGAUGUCACAUUAGUAUGGCCUUAGUUUUGGUCAUAUGUAUUUUAACAUAUGCAAUCUUUUUGGUGUCCUUGUGAAUUGGGUAAAAACUUGGUUAGUAAGUAGCUAUUGUAUUAAAACAACUUAAACAUGUUGGUUUUGCUUUAGUUUAUGAAAAUGGGUCUUUUAAGUUAAGCGUCUUAUUAUUAAGCAGGAAAUUAUCUAUGUUACGAAUGGGUCAUGCCCAAUUUUUGUAAAAAAUUCAUAUGUUUUUAUAGUCUUUUAAAAAGGGUAUGGAUUAGGGCAUUAUAAGUUGGUAUCAGAGCAUAGGUUUGAGGGAUUCAAGUGCAAGUAUUAGUGCUUGAACUCAAACAGAUAGCUCGCGCGAUGGUGUGUUCGUUCCAAGGCCGCAAGAAAGGUAAAUAUUUAAAUUUCUAUAAGUUAAGUAGGAAUAAUGUGAGGUUAAUAUGAAAUUAUAAAGUGGUAUGUGGGGCUGAAAAAGUGGGAGGAUUAAAACGGAGGGUUGGGAGCUCGUAUAACUAAAAUCGGACUUGGGAAAUGGACAAACGACUAAACAAAGAGCUGCAGCAAAACAACCGCAGGAAGGCCCGUCGCCAACGCCGGCUUGGCCCGUCGCCGACGCAGCUACCCCUGCCGACGGCCUAAUUCCCUGUCGACGCCACGAAUUACCCGACGCCAUUUUUAAAGCCCCGUCGCCGACGGCAUGUAGGGGCGUCGCCGACGGCUUGAGCUACACCAAUUCGCUGAAAUUUUUAUUUUUCAUAAUUUAAGUUCCCCUACUUCUCCGAAAACCCGUUUUAUGUUCUUGUCAAGUUAUUAGGAGAUAUAAUAAGUUAUGUAAAGUUAUGUAGAUCGUUGGUGAUGAAGUAAAAUUUAUAAAAGUUGAAUGUAAUGUAUGGAAUGGCAUGAAAUGAAAUGAAUGACGGAU
rnacentral:lncRNA from 1 species